GGCGAACGGGUGAGUAACACGUGGGUGAUCUGCCUCGCACUCUGGGAUAAGCCUGGGAAACUGGGUCUAAUACCGGAUACGACCACUGGGUGCAUGCCUGGUGGUGGAAAGGUUUACUGGUGCGAGAUGGGCCCGCGGCCUAUCAGCUUGUUGGUGAGGUAACGGCUCACCAAGGCGACGACGGGUAGCCGACCUGAGAGGGUGACCGGCCACACUGGGACUGAGACACGGCCCAGACUCCUACGGGAGGCAGCAGUGGGGAAUAUUGCACAAUGGGCGAAAGCCUGAUGCAGCGACGCCGCGUGAGGGAUGACGGCCUUCGGGUUGUAAACCUCUUUCGACAGGGACGAAGCGCAAGUGACGGUACCUGUAGAAGAAGCACCGGCUAACUACGUGCCAGCAGCCGCGGUAAUACGUAGGGUGCGAGCGUUGUCCGGAAUUACUGGGCGUAAAGAGCUUGUAGGCGGUCUGUCACGUCGAUUGUGAAAAUUCACGGCUCAACCGUGGACCUGCAGUCGAUACGGGCAGACUAGAGUACUUCAGGGGAGACUGGAAUUCCUGGUGUAGCGGUGAAAUGCGCAGAUAUCAGGAGGAACACCGGUGGCGAAGGCGGGUCUCUGGGAAGUAACUGACGCUGAGAA
rnacentral:rRNA from 1 species